UGGGGAAUUUUGGACAAUGGGCGCAAGCCUGAUCCAGCCAUGCCGCGUGAGUGACGAAGGCCUUAGGGUUGUAAAGCUCUUUUGGCGGGGAAGAUAAUGACGGUACCCGCAGAAUAAGCUCCGGCUAACUUCGUGCCAGCAGCCGCGGUAAUACGAAGGGAGCUAGCGUUGUUCGGAAUCACUGGGCGUAAAGCGCACGUAGGUGGGCAGUUAAGUCAGGGGUGAAAGCCCGAGGCUCAACCUCGGAAUUGCCUCUGAUACUGGCUGUCUAGAGUUCGAGAGAGGUGAGUGGAAUUCCUAGUGUAGAGGUGAAAUUCGUAGAUAUUAGGAAGAACACCGGUGGCGAAGGCGGCUCACUGGCUCGAUACUGACACUGAGGUGCGAAAGCGUGGGGAGCAAACAGGAUUAGAUACCCCCGUAGUCCCUGAGCGGGCUGGCAAGGCGCAU
rnacentral:rRNA from 1 species